AUCUCUUCUCCAACAGUUAUCAACCCAACAGCUCUCAGAACUGCUACCUGUACUGGACUCUUAUGCAGAGUUACUCAGUCCAUCACAGAAAUUGGCUGUAGUCCAGGCUAUAUGGGUUUCAGAGAAUGUCACACACAGACUUCAGAACCUGGGUUCCCUUUUGCAGUCACUACCAUUGAUCCUUCUCCAUAGGAGGAGUGAUGAAAUACUCUCUGACUUUAGCAAAGCUGCUGGAUCAAGAUGGAACCUACAGCAGGCACAGUUUAUUUUCCGUGAAGCUCCAAAGAGGACUCUGACUCAACAGGGGCUCAGAUCUCUGGGCCUGUUGCUGACUGGUGUUGACUGUAAAUUUCUGCAUCGAUUCCUAAAAGAUGGCAUUGUAGAGGCUCUGACAUAUCUUCAUAACGUCACAGUCCCAUUG